GAGCGCGAACGCAGUCCCCCACUACCACAAAUUAUGCAGUCGAGUUUCCCCACAUUUGGGGAAAUCUCAGAGGUCAGCACAUCCGGAGUGCAAUGGAUAAGCCUCGCCCUGGGAAAACCACCUUCAUGAUCAUGGUAUCUCCCCUGCUAAUGCUGCAGGGACUGCUCAUGUGCGGCCUCCUCUGCUUGUAAUUGGCGUGACCGUGAGGAUGAUGGCAGAGGCUGAUGUGAUAGAUCUUCCCUCCACCAUGGUAGUUCUGCUUGGGGCCUCUGUGCCUCCUCUCCCAUCUGAUGACUCUCAGCAGAAAGCACAGGCCACGAAGGUCCAUGGUGGUUUAAAACAGGAAUUAAGCAGAUCAGGCGCGCGGGAGAGGGCUUCUGUCUCGGACUUGCCAUUUUAGAUCAGGGACCUUUCUUCUAUAAAGACUGCCUGAAACUGGCAGAAGUCUCCCGGUGGAGCCAGAGGUGAGCCGCUAAGGUUGCCCAAGCCAGACCCCUUCUGGCCAGCAGUCUGAGCCCAGAGUGGGAGAAGGCACCCACUGCGGAGGCAGACCAGGCACACAGGAGAGUGCCAUUUUAGAACAGGGACCUUUUUCAAUAAAGACUGCUUGAAACCGGCAGAAGGCUUCCGGAGGAGCCAGAAGGAGAAGGUUCCCUGCACAGUCAGAAGUGAGCAGAGAGCCCCCACAAGCCUGGUCCCACCUGGCAGGAAGUCGAGCCCAGAGGGGGAUCCAGAGAUUUGGAACCCAGAGUGCAAUCCAGCUGCCCCACCUCCAGGGAAGUCUGUGGGACUUCCUUUGUAAUUAAACACAGAAGGAGGAGAUAUUCUGUGACAGUGAUCAUUAACAUUCUCAAAGUACCACUGCCUCACUAGACUUCUAGCAUAACAGUAUUUGACUUGUUUGGACUGCCAGUUUCUGAAAUCCCCGAAAGAGCACACCAAAAAUGUGUUGACCGGUACCAGCAACACAGUGUACCAACACAUAAGGCAAAUUAGAAGACAGGCAGCAGGGAAAAGAAAAACUACAUGCAACGUAGCAACUCCUCAGGAAAAAGACACACCACAAAAAGAAAACCACCCACCAGCUUGCAACAACAGUGACUUGGAAGAACUUCUGAGCCUUCCAGAAAAAGAAUUUAUAAUUGCCAUGAUGAAAAAACUGACGGAAGUCAUUAAGGAAAACAACGCUCAGAAGAAUGAAAUUGAGUCCCUAGAGAGGGAAAUGAAGGAAAUGCAGGAGAUCAAAGGAUUAACAGAAGUGCUAAAGAAUGCUGGGAAAAGCAGUGAUAACAGAAUAGAGGAAAUGGAAGAAAAAAUAAGCACUCUCGAAUACACAGAAAUAAAAAGAACCAAAACAGAAAAGGAAAGAGAAGUACGAAUGAAAAAGACUGAAGAAAGACUUCGGGAACUAUCUGACUCCAUGAGGAAAGGAAAUAUAAGAGUUAUAGGAAUCCCAGAAGGAGAGGAGAGAGACCUAGGAACAGAGAAAAUACUAAAGGAAAUAAUUGAAGAGAACUUCCCAAACGUGAAGAAGGAGCUGAAAAUUGACAUAAAAGAAGCAAGAAGAACACCAAACUUCCAUGAUGAAAGGAAAAAUACAGCAAGACACAUAAUAGUAAAGCUCCCAAGGAUCCAAGACAAGGAAAAAAUAAUGAAGCUAACAAGAGGAAAGAAACAGAUAACAUACAAAGGAAAACCAAUCAGAUUGACAUCAAACUUCCCCGAAGAAACACUACGGACAAGGAGAGAGUGAAGGACAUAGUCAACAGACUCCAAGACAACAGAUGCCAACCAAGAAUACUCUAUCCUGCAAAGCUUUCCUUCCUCUAUGAAGAAAGAAUAAGGACCUUCCCAGACAAACAGAAACUCUGGAAUUUCAUUAUGAAUAAACCCCCACUCCAAAAAAUACUACAAGGAGUCCUAAAUCCAGAACCUCAGAGGGACAAAUAAGAAUGAAAGAAGGCCAAAAAAAAAGUUAUUAAAAGAAUACAUAAAUAAAAUCAAAGGAAAGACAAACACAAUGGCAAAUACAGAUGCUAGCAUAUCAAUUUUGACUCCUAAUAUAAAUGGACUAAACUCUUCAAUAAAAAGACAGAGUCACAGGAUGGAUUAAGAAACAAAGCCCAACCUUUUGCUGUCUCCAGGAAACACAUUUAGCUACAAAAGAUAAAAAUAGACUCAAAGUCAAAGGAUGGAAAACAAUCCUACAAGCAAAUGGACGAAAAAAGAAAGCAGGAACAGCUAUACUUAUAUCAGAUAAAACAGAUUUCAAACUCAAAAAGGUAAAAAGAGACCCCAACGAUCACUACAUUAUGAUCAAGGGGACCAUACUUCAAGAAGAAAUAACACUCAUUAACAUAUACUCACCAAACGAAGGAGCACCAAAAUAUAUCAGACAACUAUUAUCAACUUUGAAAACAGGCAUCAGAGAAAACAAAUAUGUAGUAGGAGGCUUUAACACACCACUAUCAACAAUGGAUAGAUCAACGAGAAAAAAAAUAAGUAAAGACACUAAAGCUCUAAAUAAGGAUGUAGAGUGCUUGGGCUUAACAGACAUCUAUAGAACACCAACCCCCCAAAAAUCUGAGUACACAUUCUUCUCAAGUGCACACAAUCAUUCUCCAGGAUCAAUCACAUACUGGGACACAAGACAAACAUCAACAGAUCCACCAAGAUUGAAAUCAUUCCAACCAUCUUUUUUGACCAUGAAGGCAUCAAACUAGAAAUAAACCAUAAAAAGAAGGCAAGGAACUCUCCUACCUCAUGGAGAUUGAAACCCAUACUACUGGAAGACCACUGGACUAAUGAGGAGAUCAAAGAAGAAAUUAAAAAAUUCUUUGAAUUGAACGACAAGGAGGACACCAAUUUCCUAAAUAUAUGGGAUGCAGCAAAAGAAGUAAUAAGAGGAAUAUAUAUAGCAAUAGAGGCUCACAUCAAGAAACAAGAAAGAACUCAAAGAAACAACCUAAUCUCGAAGCUCAAAGAACUAGUAAAAGAACAACAAAAAAACCCCAAAACCAGUAGAAGAAAAGAAAUAAUAAAAACCAAAGCAGAAAUAAAUGAAAUCAAAACUAAAAAAACAAUCCAAAAGAUCAAUGAAACCAAAAGCUGGUUCUUUGAAAAAAUAAAUAAAGUAGACAAACCCCUAGCCAGGCUCACAAAGGAAAAAUGGGAGAAAGCACAAAUAAAUAGGAUCACAAAUGAAAGAGGAGAAAUCAGAACGGACACAGCAGAAAUCAAAAGAAUAAUCAGAAACUACUAUGAACAGUUAUAUGGAAACAAGUUCAAUAAUCUAGAGGAGAUGGACAAAUUCCGACAACUCUACAAUCACCCAAAGCUAGAUAAAGAAGAAAUAGAACACCUAAACAGACCAAUUACAAGAAGCAAAAUUGAAAUGCUAAUCAAAAAACCUCCCAAAAACAAAAGUCCAGGACCUGAUGGAUUUACAAAUAAAUUCUACCAAACAUUCAGAAACAAAUUAGUGCCUAUCCUUCACAAACUCUUCCAAAAAAUUGAGAAGGAAGGGACAAUACCAAACACGUUCUAUGAAGCCAACAUUACACUAAUAACAAAACCGAACAAGGACAACACAAAAAAGGAAAACUACAGGCCAAUCUCCCUAAUGAACACUGAU